GCUUGGAGGGACUGUGUCGGAACUCAGGACAUACCUCUGGGAGUCUGGAGUUUCCUGGGACCCUUGCCAGGGGGCUCAGAGACCCUGGCACACAGCCCAGAACACCAUCGGGUUCGAGUGCGGGCCAUGGAACAGCUUGGCACCUUUGCAUGAGAAGAUAAAAGCCACGGCAGUUUAGAUGGUAUAGGGAUAAAAUAUUCACAGAGUGUAAAUGUAGGUUUUAGGAUUUUUGGUAUAGGGGUUUCUGGUGACAAGAUGGAGGGAUUUGGGUGUGUCUAGCCUUUCUUCUUCUUCUCUACCUCCAUCUUGUCUGGUGAUGUUGGCACUUUUAGAUUGGUCUAGAGUAGAAACUCACUGUCUAGCGUAGAUGAUAGGUAUUGGAAAAUAACUGUAAAUAUUGUACACGUAGUUUGUAGUAUAUAAAGAUAACACCGCCCUGGGGGAGGGCGGAGUGCCUCUGACUGUCCUGCUGAACGGAUCUCGGCUGGACAGGGAGAAAGAAUUUUAUAGAUAAGAUGUAAUAAACAACCUUGAGACCGAAAAAUGAAGAGCCCUGACUCCUUCUUCAAGCACCCGGCUGGGAAAAGAAACUUUUGAACUUUUUCGGGGUCACUCUGACCAGCUAGAGAGAGAGACCCCGGCAACUGGCGUUCCCUGGGUGAGCUCGAAGAAAGAUGCGCAAUUGGAGUUCCCUGGCUUGGCUGCAAGAAAGACCCGGAAUUUGGCAUUCCCAGGUGAGCUGCAAGAGCUGGGCGGCAAGAGAACAACCCCGAUGGGUGGAAAGAGAGACGGCUGCAAGAGGUGGGCAGCAAGAGAGCACCCAGGUGGGCAGUUGGCAGGCAGCGACGCCACCAGACAUCAGCCGCUGAAACACAGCCCGUGAAGAGAAAAAAAAAAAAAAAAGGACAAGGAAAAGAAGCAGGCACUCCCAAAAGAAAAAAAAAAAAAAAAAAAAAAAAAGAAAAAAAAAAAAAAAGGAAAAAGAAAAAAAAAGAGAGAAAAAAAAAUACCCAGACAGAAGAUCCAAGAUCCAACUUCUGCUGAACAGACUCGCAUCCAGAUCUGGCAGGGGGUCCAGUGACCAGGGCGACCUCCGAACCGACCUCGCAAAUGAUUCAGCUUUUGGACCCAUUCUUCACCUCCAAGAUUUUGAGAAAAUCCUCCAGUCUCUUCGGGGACGUGGAUUUGUUUGUUUUAGCAGGUACAAAAGUCCAGGUGAACCUCAGUGAAGAAUGUGAAACUCCAUCCAGUGCAAGACAAUGUUGACAAGAAGCGCAGGCAAGAAAACACUGACCAUUCCAUAAGCAGAAAAGAAGAUAUACAGAUGUAGACUGCACAGAGAUUCCAACCCUUGUGCUUUGCCCACAGAAGACUGUGGACUUUGGGUCACUUCAGGGGUGUGGGAAUCAGUGGUGUUGUAAAAUUGUUGUUAGAUGAUAGCUUGUUAUAUUUUAGUAAGGCUUUUAGUUCUCUUGUUCAUUAUGCCAUGCAUUCUUUUGUGCAUUCUUUUUGUACAGCGGGUUGUGAACCAGGUUGUCAAAGAGGUCUUCUUGGUGCAAACAGAAGGGGGAGAUGUCGGAACUCAGGACAUACCUCUGGGAGUCUGGAGUUUCCUGGGACCCUUGCCAGGGGGCUCAGAGACCCUGGCACACAGCCCAGAACACCAUCGGGUUCGAGUGCGGGCCAUGGAACAGCUUGGCACCUUUGCAUGAGAAGAUAAAAGCCAUGGCAGUUUAGAUGGUAUAGGGAUAAAAUAUUCACAGAGUGUAAAUGUAGGUUUUAGGAUUUUUGGUAUAGGGGUUUCUGGUGACAAGAUGGAGGGAUUUGGGUGUGUCUAGCCUUUCUUCUUCUUCUCUACCUCCAUCUUGUCUGGUGAUGUUGGCACUUUUAGAUUGGUCUAGAGUAGAAACUCACUGUCUAGCGUAGAUGAUAGGUAUUGGAAAAUAACUGUAAAUAUUGUACACGUAGUUUGUAGUAUAUAAAGAUAACACCGCCCUGGGGGAGGGCGGAGUGCCUCUGACUGUCCUGCCGAACGGAUCUCGGCUGGACAGGGAGAAAGAAUUUUAUAGAUAAGAUGUAAUAAACAACCUUGAGACCGAAAAA